ensembl:lncRNA
CGGAAAGUAGGUUAGUGGUGCGACAUUUAGGGAAGGCAGAAAGUAGGUCAGGGACGGAGGUGCCUGUUUACCCGCGCCGGACUCACCGCCGCCGCCGCCGCGGGAUCCGAGUGGGGGCGCGGGCGCGGGCGCUCCCGGCGAGCCACGGUGGUGCUGUCUAACGUGCAUGUUUUUGGACCCAAGCUUAACUUUUCAAAUGUGGAAUGCUAGGCCUUCAUUGAUCUAGAAACACGUUCUUGGCCAUCUUGCUGAGGUGUCCCUACUCUAUCCCUUAAGGGGGAGUAAGUCAUCCCAGGCUCUUAAUCCUUGGUCCAAAGUUCCUGAUCCUGUUUGCUGUCCCUGUGAAGUGAAGGUAAAAUGGAAAUUGUUCACAGGGUUGCUGUGAAAAAUUAAAUAAUAUUACAUAUAUUAUUUCAGAAGAUACAAGUACUUGCUUACUAAAUGCUGGACUUCGUGCUGUCAGUAAAUAACAGCUCAUUGUAGAUACUGCUUUCAGCAUCAGUACCAUCAUCCCCAUCCCAAGGCUACAGGAUUAGUAUGUCGAUGGAGCCAGGAUUUGAACCUAACCCUGCCUGGCCCCAGAGCCCACGUUCUUCCCCAUGUCGCACACUCUCAAGUUCAUUUUGUCCGAGACUCUCUGGUCUGUAAGUUUGCUCUCUUGGUCUUCUUGAUUGUCCCAUUUGUUCCCAUCUGGACAGUAGGCUCAAGCCAGGGCUCAGCAGACCUUCAGUCGCUUCCAGCCAGUGACCUCUUUUCAGUCAUUGACUGGGUGUCCCCAGUGGCUGCACUGUUCAGCAAAGUGCUUGGACAGUUUUCCUUGAUUGUCAGUGUUGUGUUGUCUGCUGUGAAAGCUGGGAAGUUGAGGGAGGUUCCUGUAUGGUUGUUUAUAUCAGUAGGAUGAUCCAGAGAAAACAGGUGUGGCAGUAGAAAGGGCUGGUAGGUGUCCUCAUCUUUUGGGGUCACUGAUUACUCUGUGAAUCUGGUGAAAUUUAUGAAGCCUCUCUCCAGAAAAAAUGCCAUGGUAAGGCCAACAUUUUCCCCACAGCCCACCCAGGGGUCCUGGCUGAGAAAUUCAGACUCAGAAGGGUAAUUCACAUACUCGUAGGCUGUUCUGUGUCUAUAGGCUGUUUGUACUCGAAGGCUGGUGGGCCAUCCUGGUAGCACUUGGAAAUACCUGUUUUACUGAUGUGGUUUUCCAUUUUCAUUUCUUUCCCAUAUUUGAGAAAUGUAUCCAUGCCUUAGAACUGACCUAGUCAUUUUGGUGAGACUGACCUGCUGGUUUGCACAUAAAUUCAAGCCUUAACCUGUACCUAGCAGACCAACUGGAGAGGGGUUUUUUGGCCCCAAAAAUCAGACUAAUGGGCUUCCCAGGUGGUGCUAUUGGUAAAGAACCUGCUUGCCAAUGCAGGAGAGGUGGGUUCAAUCCCUGGGUCGGCAAGAUUACCUGGAGAAGAGAAUGGCAACCCACUCCAGUAUUCUUGCCUGAAGAAUUCCAUGGACAGAAGAGCCUGUGAACUACUAUCUGUGGGGUCACAGAGUCGGACACAACUGAAGGGGCUUAGCACAUGCACACAUCAGACUAAUAGGAAUUUAAUCGUAAUUUUGUUGUUUAGUUGCUAAGUCAUGUCCAACUCUUUUGCGACCCCGUGGUCUAUAGCCCACCAGGCUCCUCUGUCCAUGGGAUUUCCCAGGCAAGAAUUCUGAAGCGG